GUCGUCGUCAGCUCGUGUCGUGAGAUGUUGGGUUAAGUCCCGCAACGAGCGCAACCCUUGUUAUUAGUUGCCAGCAUUUAGUUGGGCACUCUAAUGAGACUGCCGGUGAUAAACCGGAGGAAGGUGGGGACGACGUCAGAUCAUCAUGCCCCUUAUGACCUGGGCAACACACGUGCUACAAUGGGAAGUACAACGAGUCGCAAACCGGCGACGGUAAGCUAAUCUCUUAAAACUUCUCUCAGUUCGGACUGGAGUCUGCAACUCGACUCCACGAAGGCGGAAUCGCUAGUAAUCGCGAAUCAGCAUGUCGCGGUGAAUACGUUCCCGGGUCUUGUACACACCGCCCGUCAAAUCAUGGGAGUCGGAAGUACCCAAAGUCGCUUGGCUAACUUUUAGAGGCCGGUGCCUAAGGUAAAAUCGAUGACUGGGAUUAAGUCGUAACAAGGUAGCCGUAGGAGAACCUGCGGCUGGAUCACCUCCUUUCUAAGGA
rnacentral:rRNA from 1 species